rnacentral:rRNA from 1 species
GUUGUGAAUUGCAGAAUCCCGUGAAUCAUCGAGUUUUUGAACGCAAGUUGCGCCCGAAGCCAUUAGGCUGAGGGYACGUCUGCCUGGGCGUCACGC